rnacentral:rRNA from 1 species
UACGUAGGGUGCGAGCGUUAAUCGGAAUUACUGGGCGUAAAGCGUGCGCAGGCGGUUUUGUAAGCCAGAUGUGAAAUCCCCAGGCUCAACCUGGGAACUGCGUCCGAUACUGGCAGGCUUGAAUCCGGGAGAGGGAUGUGGAAUUCCAGGUGUAGCGGUGAAAUGCGUAGAUAUCUGGAGGAACACCGGUGGCGAAGGCGGCAUCCUGGACCGGCAUUGACGCUGAGGCGCGAAAGCUAGGGGAGCAAACGGG